rnacentral:rRNA from 1 species
UACAGAGGUCCCAAGCGUUGUUCGGAUUUAUUGGGCGUAAAGGGUGCGUAGGCGGCGGAGUAAGUUGGGUGUGAAAUCCCGGGGCUCAACCUCGGAAUUGCAUUCAAUACUGCUUCGCUCGAGUACUGGAGAGGAGGCUGGAAUUUACGGUGUAGCAGUGAAAUGCGUAGAUAUCGUAAGGAAGGCCGGUGGCGAAAGCGGCUUUCUGGACAGAUACCGACGCUGAGGCACGAAAGCUAGGGGAGCAAACGGGG